rnacentral:lncRNA from 1 species
AUUUCCUUUUUUCCUAGAAAAAGAAACAUAAGAAACACAAACACAAAAGUAAGCAAAAGAAUAAGAAAUCAGAAAAAAAUAGCAGUUCUGAGAGUACAGAUAGCAGUGACAGUGGGAGUGAUGCAGGAGGGUCCACAGAGCUGUCCCCGCAGGAGCUGCUUCGAAGACUGAAGUGUCUCCCCCUAAGAAGGCAGUGAUGGAGCCCUUCCCUGGCCUGUCUCAGUCUGGAGGCUCCUCCGCGAUGGAAGUCCGUUGAUUUCCCAGUUCAUACAUUGUGCAAAUGUAUUUAUAUGUAAAUUCCUUCUGUAAAAUAAUCUUUUAAACCUUGACAUUUCAAAGGCUGCCUGAAAGGUUGCAGAAAUUGAUUUCUAUUUUUAACCUCAGUUCAUGUUAGAGGGAUAAAAGACUGAACAGUUUAAUUAAAGUGACUUUUUUU